UGAUUUUGGGAGUGAAGGCAGCCAUAUUUGUCAGCUUUGUGUGUGUCGGCUCCUGGGUUUGUCCGGUAAAAAUUGGGCGAUACGUGCAUGAGACGAAGCGCCGCCAGCGUACACAGGUACUAACAAGACUGCGGUACGUCAAGGUCAAGUUCAGGCCGAGUUAAGCAGCGUUUAUCCAAUUCGCUGGCGAAAAAGACGCCAGGAAAUGUGAAAUUCAACUGAUUACACGUGUUUUGAUGGAGGGUUUGUUUCCUGAACCUAUUUUUCCACCCCGCUGGAAAUCGCAGAAAAAGAGGCUUGGGCACCCGGCCCACAUGGUCAGGGCUGACUGUCAGGAGGUGAUUGUUUAAGGUGGAUUUUAGGCGUGCAACUGGAUCUGGGAUGGACCUAGUUGACCUACCCAAGCUAUUGAAGUGGGAGUGGAGUUUCUCAAUGCCUUGCUCAGCCAGAAACCCCAAGCCAAAUCCCCAUCUCCGGAUGCAAGGUACCACGUGGUGUUCGAGGAUGUGCAUCUUGAUGCUCACUGUCCGGGACUCUUCACGGUAGUCAGCAGUAAAACGGGGUGAGAAGCAGUUUCCGGAUGGGAGGAGAAGCAGAGAGGACUUGCUCAAGGAAAGAAACUACAAUGGAACAAGCAGAGGGAAGUCACCACAGCCUGAGCUAUAGUUCUUGCAUAGUAUAGUCGAAGACAGCACUGGGCAGGGAGAAGAUGUAGGCGCAAGGCCGCAGUGCUAUGAUGACCUCGUCAUCAUCUGUUUUCACAGAGAAGGGGAGCAGUUCAGCAGUCACUUCGUAUGCAGACAGCAGCAGGUGCCCUGUUGGAAUGCGGAUCUGUGCCAGGCCUGCCUUGUCCAGCAUCUGGAAGAGCUGAUCCUUGGGGUACCUUUUCAUCUCAGCCAUCAGCUGGUGUUCACCAUUCCCACCGCUCACCUGCUCUCUCAUAGACUCCAACAUACGUGCCCUCUUGGCCACAGUGGAGGGGGCUGCAUCGGUGCUUGUCUUCUCAAGUUGCGGUGUAUGCAUGAAUCUCAUUGGCUAGAGAUUGGAGAUUUUUAGAUAAGCAUGUGUUG